rnacentral:rRNA from 1 species
AAUAAUACUCCAUAGAUCUAGGAUGCUGGAGUGCACCUAGGUUGAAAGCUCCGGCGCCUAAGGAUAAGUCUGCGGACUAUCAGGUUGUAGUCAGGGUAAAGACCUGACUAGCCUACAACGGAUACGGGUUGUGAGAGCAAUAACCCGGAGACGAUAUCUGAGACACGAUAUCGGGCCCUACGGGGCGCAGCAGGCGCGAAACCUUCGCACUGUGCGAAAGCGCGAUGAGGGGAUCCCAAGUGCUUGCUCGUAAGAGUAAGCUGUUUUUAUGUCUAAAAAGCAUAGAGAGUAAGGGCUGGGUAAGACGGGUGCCAGCCGCCGCGGUAAUACCUGCAGCUCAAGUGGUGAUCAUUAUUAUUGGGCCUAAAACGUCCGUAGCCGGUUUGGUAAAUGCCUGGGUAAAUCGUGUAGCUUAACUAUACGAAUUCCGGGUAGACUGCCAAACUUGAGACCGGGAGAGGCUAGAGGUACUCCUGGGGUAGAGGUGAAAUUCUGUAAUCCUAGGGGGACCACCAGUGGCGAAGGCGUCUAGCUAGAACGGGUCUGACGGUCAGGGACGAAGCCCUGGGGCGCAACCCGGAUUAGAUACCCGGGUAGUCCAGGGUGUAAACGCUGCUUGCUUGAUGUUAGUUGGGCUCCGAGCCCAAUUAGUGUCGGAGAGAAGUUGUUAAGCAAGCUCCCUGGGAAGUACGGUCGCAAGACUGAAACUUAAAGGAAUUGGCGG